rnacentral:rRNA from 1 species
UAGGGACUCUUCCACAAUGGACGCAAGUCUGAUGGAGCAACGCCGCGUGAGUGAAGAAGGUUUUCGGAUCGUAAAGCUCUGUUGUUGUUGAAGAAGGAUAGAGGCAGUAACUGGUCUUUAUUUGACGGUAAUCAACCAGAAUGUCACGGCUAACUACGUGCCAGCAGCCGCGGUAAUACGUAGGUGGUAAGCGUUGUCCGGAUCUAUUGGGCAUAAAGCGAGCGCAGGCGGAAUGAUAAGUCUGAUGUGAAAGCCCACGGCUCAACCGUGGAACUGCAUCGGAAACUGUCAUUCUUGAGUGCAGAAGAGGAGAGUAGAAUUCCAUGUGUAGCGGUGGAAUGCGUAGAUAUAUGGAAGAACACCAGUGGCGAAGGCGGCUCUCUGGUCUGCAACUGACGCGGAGGCGAGAAAGCAUAGGGAGCGAACAGG